GCUGGGUGUGGUGGUGCACACCUGUAGUCCCAGCUACUCAGGAGGCUGAGGCAGGAGGAUUUAUUUUGCCUAGGAGGUCGAGGAGGCAGUGAUCUGUGCUUGCACCACUGUACUCUACCCUGAGCAAGAAAUAAAUAUCCCAUCUCUU
ensembl:misc_RNA Metazoa_SRP Metazoan signal recognition particle RNA